GAUGAACGCUGACAGAAUGCUUAACACAUGCAAGUCGAUUCGAUUUACCUUCGGGUAUUGAGGAUGGCGGACGGGUGAGUAACGCGUAAGGAACUUGCCUCUUGGUCUGGGACAACUGUUAGAAACGACAGCUAAUACCGGAUAUUAUGAGAUUCUCGCAUGGGAAACUUAUGAAAGCUAUAUGCGCCAAGAGAGAGCCUUGCGUUCCAUUAGCUAGUUGGUGGGGUAACGGCCCACCAGGGCGACGAUGGAUAGCCGGCCUGAGAGGGUGAACGGCCACAAGGGGACUGAGACACGGCCCUUACUCCUACGGGAGGCAGCAGUGGGGAAUAUUGGACAAUGGGCCACAAGCCUGAUCCAGCAAUUCUGUGUGCACGAUGAAGGUCUUCGGAUUGUAAAGUGCUUUCAGUUGGGAAGAAGAAAGUGACGGUACCAACAGAAGAAGCGACGGCUAAAUACGUGCCAGCAGCCGCGGUAAUACGUAUGUCGCAAGCGUUAUCCGGAUUUAUUGNGCGUAAAGCGCGUCUAGGCGGAAAAAUAANUCUGAUGUUAAAAUGCGGGGCUCAACUCCGUAUUGCGUUGGAAACUGUUUUUCUAGAGUACUGGAGAGGUGGGCGGAACUACAAGUGUAGAGGUGAAAUUCNUAGAUAUUUGUAGGAAUGCCGAUGGAGAA
rnacentral:rRNA from 1 species